GGGGAAUAUUGCACAAUGGGCGCAAGCCUGAUGCAGCAACGCCGCGUGAGGGACGACGGCCUUCGGGUUGUAAACCUCUUUUGGCAGGGAAGAAGCGAAAGUGACGGUACCUGCAGAAAAAGCACCGGCUAACUACGUGCCAGCAGCCGCGGUGAUACGUAGGGUGCAAGCGUUGUCCGGAAUUAUUGGGCGUAAAGAGCUCGUAGGCGGUUUGUCGCGUCUGCUGUGAAAACCCGAGGCUCAACCUCGGGCCUGCAGUGGGUACGGGCAAACUAGAGUGCGGUAGGGGAGAUUGGAAUUCCUGGUGUAGCGGUGGAAUGCGCAGAUAUCAGGAGGAACACCGAUGGCGAAGGCAGAUCUCUGAGCCGUAACUGACGCUGAGGAGCGAAAGCAUGGGGAGCGAACA
rnacentral:rRNA from 1 species